UGACCAUGUUACACAGAAACACCAGUUGCCAUAAGAUCACCAAAAUUAAGCAAUGUUGAGCCUGGUCAGUACCUAGAUGGGUGACUGCUUGGGAAUACCAGUUUCUGUA